ACCACUUUUGGUCAUGAAAUCUUUCGGGCAAAUCGAUAGAAUUAUCCUGAAAACUCCAGUUUAUUCUGCAAGUAGAAUAAGGAGAAACAAAAGUAUAACUACUCAUGCAACUUGCAAAACAAUAUUUUUAUUGUUUAGUAAAGAUCAACAUAAAAGAUGUAUACAGUAAGUAGCGAAGCUACAAAUAAAUACGAUUCUCUGUAAAGAGUAUUCAAUCAUCCACACCUGUUGGAAUAUUACAUAUGUUCCAGAACUGUAUCAAAAUAAAAAUAUUCCUCUUAUUUCUACAUAGGAGAUUUCAGCUCCUUCAAAUACGUUUCUGUUCCUCUUUUUCCAUGUCAUCCACGUAAGUAAAAGAGCACACCAUCCAUGACCCAUUACUCACAGAGGUCUUUUACAGAAAGUAAUGUAAAAAAGUAAAGUAGCCAGAAAUCUAUUAGAUAAACGAAGUGGUCAAUACCACACGUUCAGACCAGAAAAUAACUUCUUCCCACAUGAAACACAGUUAUGACACGCUUUAUUCAUUUAUACUGAUAAUUUUUUCACAUACGAACAUCAAAAUAUAUUUCAAUAACAGUCGUCAGUAUGAACAUUGCUUCUGAAAUUAGAAGACAACAUCAACUACAGAUGUAACUUACAUUUAACCAAAUAAAGGAAGCUCAAGCCUAGACUGUAAACAGUAAAAGAAUCCUACUGCUCAGAAUAUAUUCCUAAGAGUCUCUAUCUCUUUAAUAAACUUUCAUCUAAUUAUUCUAUUACCAGGAUAACAAAGAUUUUGAAUUAGUUUCAAAUGCAAGGCUAUUGACAAUAGUUACAUCAACACUUAUAAUGGUAUCUUCAAAUUAUAUUUUGUUCCAUAAUUAAGACAUAAGAUAUCUUUAGAUUUUGAACAUCAAAAGAUUCUGUUGAUUAGAUCCAUGCAAGCUUGUGAGUCAUGAUAACCACAAAAUGUAGGCAGAUGAAAAAUCAUAUCUUGGACACCUUUUUGUUUCAACGGAGCGCUUUAAAUCAAUGGACUCUAUAUCUAACUUGAGAUGGUCACAAAUACUAAACAGGAUUCGACUAAGGUUAUGCACUAAGAAGAAUAGACGUCAUAAAAAACUUUUAAAUGAAAAAAUUGUUGCAGUUCGCUUCCACCAAUAGUGUUUGUGUUAUGCUGUGGGAAUUAUUUUGUUGUAUUUAUCUUUUAAACUAUUUGAAAGAUAGUUUGUUAUAAUUAAGUUGGAAAAGUGGGGCUUGUCCCACAUCGGUGGUAUAAGGCCACUUUGUGUGCCUUUUAAGUCCUUGUCCUUUUAUGUGUUUAAUUUAGAACACAUACUUUUAUAUAUGUGUAAAUACAUAUAUAUUAUAUUAUAUAUAUUAAUAUUAAAGAUUUGGACUUGGACUUGGGGCUUGGGCGCGGGCUGGACCUAAAAUAAAUAUUUUAUUUAUAUUUAUUUUACAAUUAAAUCUGUUUUAUUUGAAAUUUAAAUUUUAAAUUUAUUUGAAUAUACAGAUGCAUUUGUUUAUGAAAGAACACAUCUUUUUUGAAAAGGUCCGAUGAUUGCCCAUAAAUAGAAGUUUUUCCAACAAAGUGGAAUGAAAAAUCUGCACUAUAUUCUUGGCUUGUUGUAUCCUGAAGAAGAUUGUUUGUAUCCCCAAUUUGUAUACGGGCAAUAUCUUCUUUAAGGAAAGUCGUUCUCACUCCUCAAGCCUUCUUAAAUUUCGUUUUUGUUAUUAUUUUUCUAACAAUCUUAAAGAAGAUAAUCUGCUAUGGAGAAUAUUUUGUUCGCCGUUGAAGUGUGGCCACAACCUAUGCCAUCUAAUUCUGUAUGUUGUGACAGUGAGACUACCAUAUUAGUGGCUCACUAUAAGAUAUAUAAUGGGAAAUCAAGACAUAUAAGCUUGAGGCACGCUUACAUAAGAGAAUUAGUCACAAAUGGAACUAUAACUAUUGUGUAUGUGAGAUCGAAUAAGAAUUUGGCAGAUCCACUUACCAAACCAUUAACGAAAAAUGUAGUACAACAAACUUGUGAAGGAAUGGGGCUAAAAGCUCUAAAUUAAAUACAAGCGACAGGAACCCUACUUUGAGUUAGUAUACACUAUAACAAAAUAAGUUCAAUGAGGUAAUAACAAGAUGUUUUGCAUUGCUUUGCUUAAGCACUGAUCUCCUUUCAGAGCCUUAAUUCCAAUGUACUACAUAUUGUUAUGGGAGGAGUCAAGAAGUUGUUAAAUAUAUGAAAUAACUACGGAAAAAUAACAAACUUCGUGGUGCAAACUGUUACACGAAGAAGUUGAAUUAAAUCUUAAUGAAAUUAGUAAAUGUUUGUAGUAACAGGAACAUUGUAGCUAAUUUCAACUAUAUGGUUAUUGAAGUGGUGCCGCUUCAGGCAAGGUUUAAGGGGUUGAUCUUGUAAAUAUUCAUGAAGUCAGGAUGAGCACAUGGCCAUAAACGUGCUAAAGCAAAUACUAGAUUUUCUUAGCCACUGUAUAAUAUUGUGCGUGUGAUAUUUUCGGUUUUGACACAAGGAGUUGUGGUUCAAACCUUUAAGGUACCAGUAACUUCGUCAAGACUUUAAGAUAUUUACAUUAAUAGAAAGUUCAAAUCAAAAUAAAAUACUCUUCAAUAUGCGUAAUAUUAUGAGAAUAGUGGGGGACUGAAAGAUAGUUUGUUAUAAUGAAGUUGGAAAAGUGGGACUUGUCCCACAUCGGUAGUACAAUGCCACUUUGUGUGCUUUUAAGUCCUUGUUCUUUUAUGUGUUUAAUUUAAAACACAUACUCUUAUAUAUGUGUAAAUACAUAUAUAGUAUAUUAUAUAUAUAUUAAUAAUAAAGACUUGGACUUGGACUUGGGGUUUGGCGGCGGGCCGGGUCGGACCUACAAUAAAUAUUUUAUUUUUAUUUAUUUUACAAUUAAAUAUGUUUUAUUUGAAAUUUAAAUUUUAAAUUUUAAAUUUAUUUGAAUAAACAGAUGCAUCUGUUUAUGAAAGAACACAUCUUUUUUUCAAAGGUCCGAUGAUUGUCUAUAAAUAGAAGUUCUUCCAACAAAGUGGAUAUGAAAAAUUUGCAGUAUAUUUUUGGCUUGUUGUAUCUUCUUUAAAGAAAGUCGUUCUCACGCCUCAAACCUUCUUCAAUUUCGUUUUCUGUUAUAAUUUUUCUAACACUAUUAGCUGCAUCAAUAUCAAAGAAGACUUUUCAAAUGGUGUAAACCAAAGGUUACGAUAGUAGUGGGCCAUUAUGCUAUAAGAAUAAAACAUGAUAAGGAAUGGAAGAUGCGUCUCUUAUGAGAAAAAGGUACCUUUUCAAGAAAACAUACAUAUGCCUUUAACAUGGUAAAAAAUUUCUCUGUCCCUCUAAAGGCUCGUCGGCUUUUCCUGUCCAUAUAAACCAAUGACACUUAUGUUAGUUAUAAAGUUGCAUAAUAAUCCCACGUACACAAAGACACUGAGAGUCGUAAAUGCAAGGAAGCAAAUAAAGAUACUAAAUUUUAGCAGUCAAAAGUAACUCAAUUCAUAACUUAAAAGCACAUUUCGGAUUGUUGACUCAGUUUACAGUAGAGAUGCCUUUAGGUUGCUGAAUUAUAUAUGAGUACUUGGUAGAAUAUCUGUCACAAGAGAAAAGGAAAAAAAUAUUAUUCAGUUGGUUCAAGCAUAUUAUCAAACACCCUCGAUGUACCAACGUACUAAUUCAAUAUAGUUACGGAAUGUGAGUAAAAUAUCCAAUAAGCAACUAUAGAUUCAAAUUUUUCCGGAGAAUAGUGAGAAUCAACAUUUAUAAAAUUGAGUGAUUUUCAGCAAUUCUUCUUUCGAAUCUCAACAAACCAAAAGUACAUUUAUGUUUCUUUUUCCUGAGAUUCUUAGUAGUCGGGAAACAGAACAUUCACAAAAAAAUCAAAAAGAAAACGGAAAUUACAUGUAGAGAGACAAUUA
rnacentral:lncRNA from 1 species